ACUCAAAGGAAUUGACGGGGACCCGCACAAGCAGCGGAGCAUGUGGUUUAAUUCGAAGCAACGCGAAGAACCUUACCAGGGCUUGACAUCCCACUGAUUGGUGUAGAGAUACAUCUUUCCUUCGGGACAGUGGAGACAGGUGGUGCAUGGUUGUCGUCAGCUCGUGUCGUGAGAUGUUGGGUUAAGUCCCGCAACGAGCGCAACCCCUAUUUUUAGUUGCCAUUAUUAAGUUGGGCACUCUAGAGAGACUGCCGGGGAUAACUCGGAGGAAGGUGGGGACGACGUCAAAUCAUCAUGCCCCUUAUGUCCUGGGCGACACACGUGCUACAAUGGCCGGAAACAGAGGGCAGCCAAGCCGCGAGGUGGAGCGAAUCCCUUAAACCCGGUCUCAGUUCGGAUUGUGGGCUGCAACUCGCCCACAUGAAGUCGGAGUUGCUAGUAAUCGCGGAUCAGCACGCCGCGGUGAAUGCGUUCCCGGGUCUUGUACACACCGCCCGU
rnacentral:rRNA from 1 species